UAUUCAUCAUAAACUAUUCAAAAUGUUAUUGUUUUAUAGAACAUGAACAUGCAAAAGGAAAUUAAUCUGCAUUCUGAGACUCACAGCUGUCUGUUCUGUGUACGUAGAGCAUUUACAUACAGAGACACUUUGCAUGAGAGUGUUUAUAGAGCUGUGAGUUUAACACUUCAUGACUGAGAGCAGAACAGAACACAAUCUUCAUCAUCACACAAGACACAACAACAACAAUGAACAACAUCAUCAUCCUCAUCUGGACUCUGACUCUCAGCAUUCAGGAGAUCUGGGGACAAAGGACAGUGACUCAGAAUCCAGAAAUGAAAUCCAUCAAUCAAGGAGAAACUUUUACAAUCAACUGUAAAACAAGUCAGACACUUUCUAGCUGCUAUAACUGUGUGUCUUGGUAUCAGAAGAAACCUGGAGAAGCUCCUAAACUCCUCAUUUAUUACAUAAGAAGCCUCCAGUCAGGAACUCCAUCUAGAUUCAGUGGCAGUGGAUCAAACUAUGGAAGUGAUUUCUCUCUGACCAUCAGUGGAGUCCAGACUGAAGAUACAGGAGAUUAUUACUGUCAGGUGUAUAACAAUGAUGGUGUGUUCACACAGUGAUACAGAGUCGUACAAAAACCUCCGUCAGUCAGAGUCACAGUGACUGCACUGAUACAGCUGAGAGACACUGCAGCUGAUGAUGAGAGGAUCACAAACAACAUAUAGAUUAUAGCAAAAUUACUAAAUGUUAGUAACACACUCAGGCCUGCUGUGGGACUCACAAGACAGCACUGUAUAAACUAUUCAUACAAUGAAAAUUAUGUAUUUUUUUAUUAUUAAAAUGACAAACCUGAUUCCAAAAAAGUUGGGACACUGUACACAUUGUGAAUAAAAACCGAAUGCAAUGAUGUGGAAGUUUCAAAUUUCAAUAUUUUAUUCAGAAUACAACAUAGAUGACAUAUUAAUGUUUAAACUGAGAAAAUCUAUAAUUUUAAGGUAAAAAUUAGUUGAUUUUAAAUUUCAUGACAUCAACACAUCUCAAAAAAGUUGGGACAAGGCCAUGUUUACCACUGUGUGGCAUCCCCUCUUCUUUUUAUAAGAGUCUGCAAACGUCUGGGGACUGAGGAGACAAGUUGCUCAAGUUCAGGAAUAGGAAUGUUGUCCCAUUCUUGUUUUAUACAGUCUUCUAGUUGCUCAACUGUCUUAG